AUUCAUGUAUUUGGUUUUCAUGUUACAUUUGUUAUUCUCGUGGUGUUUUGUCUGAUGAUUGGUCUGUUUCUGUGUGUGUUGCGUUUCGGUGUUGUGUCGUUGUUCUCCUCUUAUAUUUAAUGCGUUUCGCUCGGUUUUGGUUUGUUUCCCCGAUUUUGUUUUUUGUCCAUGGAUUUAUGAGUUUUGAACAGCGGUAUACUACUGUUGCCUUUAUAUAAC
rnacentral:lncRNA from 1 species